UAUAAGGGAUUUUGAGUUUUUGCUUUCAACAUUUGACCACUCGUCUUAUUCAAAAUUCUUUGAAAUUAUUAUUUAUUUUAUUUGUGAUUUACUUUAUUAUCUACAGUAUUUUAAGCACAACUUUUCAUUUUUUACAUUUGCAAAAAAAAUUUAAAUAAGACGAGUGAUCAAACGUUGCAAGUAAAAACUUAAA
rnacentral:pre_miRNA from 1 species